rnacentral:rRNA from 1 species
GUAGUCUCGCACAGAUGCAUAUCAAUAAGCGGAGGAAAAGAAACUAACAAGGAUUCCCCUAGUAACGGCGAGUGAAGCGGGAAGAGCUCAAAUUUGAAAUCUUAAAGGGUUUCCCUUUACGAAUUGUAGUUUAAAGAAGUGUUUUCUGUUGAGGUUUUGGUAAAAGUUCUUUGGAAUAGGACAUCAUAGAGGGUGAGAAUCCCGUAUUUGACCUUUACUUUCAACUUUGUGAUACACUUUCAAAGAGUCGGAUUGUUUGGGAAUGCAGUCCAAAAUGGGUGGUAAAUUUCAUCUAAAGCUAAAUAUUGGCGAGAGACCGAUAGCGAACAAGUACCGUGAGGGAAAGAUGAAAAGAACUUUGAAAAGAGAGUUAAACAGUACGUGAAAUUGUCAAAAGGGAAGCGUUUGACACCAGUGUUGUUUUUCUGAAAAUCAAUUAAAGAACUGUUUAUGCUAAGCUGUUUAGACUUUAUCAGCUAUCUGUUUAGUUUUGAGCUUUUCUUUAAUGCACUUUUCAGUUAACAAGUCAACAUCAAUUUCUUUUGCUGUAAAAAAGCUUGAGGAAGGUGGCUUGAGAUUCGUCUUAAGUGUUUAUAGCCUCUUGCCUAUGCAGUCGGAGAGAUUGAGGUCUGCAGCGUAGAUCCUUCGGGGCUAAAUGCAUUUGUGCUAAGUUAUAGCAUUUUAUAGACAACUUGUUGACUAUGAUUUGUCUUGUAGCUUACUCGCUUAUGUUAUUUUACCUACGCUUAGGAUGUUGACGCAUGAGAUAUACGC